UACGUAGGGUGCAAGCGUUGUCCGGAAUUAUUGGGCGUAAAGGGCUCGUAGGCGGUCCAUCACGUCGGGAGUGAAAAGCUGGGGCUUAACCCCAGUCCUGCUUCCGAUACGGGUGGACUAGAGGUAGGCAGGGGAGAACGGAAUUCCUGGUGUAGCGGUGAAAUGCGCAGAUAUCAGGAGGAACACCGAUUGCGAAGGCAGCUCGCUGGGACGUUACUGACGCUGAGACGCGAAAGCGUGGGGAGCAAACAGG
rnacentral:rRNA from 1 species